UAGUCACACAAAAUUUUUAGUCAUACGUACUUAAAUAUUGUAUAUAAAUAACUUUCAAUAAAAUAUUUACCACAGCCACUUCGCCGGUAAUAUCUUUGCACACUUUACUUCUCACAAAAUUAUCGUAGAGAUAUAUUAACACCGAAAUUAACAGAAUGGUCGGCAUAAAUAGCGUUAAGAGGGCGACCACUGACCAGGCGCGUAAUUUUUUGAAUGCAUCAGUCGCCAUUCGUAAUGCAAGUAUUUCGUUAAAUAUUUGUUAUCAAAUAAAUAUUUGUGCAGUAAAUAAAGAAGAAAACCGUUGCGUUCUGCGCUACCGCUGAAAUAGUACUGAGCCACUAAAUGCAAGCUGUUGUCAGCAAUAUGCCGCAAAGUUCCCCGAUUGGAUUAAGGUCCGGACUAAUUGCUGGCCUCCUCAAUAAGGCGAGAUUUUUCAAUGCGUGAAAUGACAUCGUAGACCUAGAAAAUCUGCAAUAUCAAAUACUCUCUAUGAAAAUAUUUACAAAUGGUAUAAGUUCGCUUUCAUAGAGAUUCGUAUAAAUCUGCAAAUCUUUCCAUCUUGCUCGUUACACCUGGUACAGCAGUAGGCCUCCCUGACGGCAAUAAACUUCUGCUUCGCUUAAAUUAUCCUGUCUCGUAAAUUUCACAACUUUGGGAACAAAAAAAAAAAAAA